AGUCUGUCAGCAAAUGAUGUUAAACUGGAUCUGAUGGACUGUGCUGAGUUUGUUCAAUCCAGUCCUGAGCUUCGUGUU